GACGAACGCUGGCGGCGUGCUUAACACAUGCAAGUCGAACGGUGACCUCGAGAGCUUGCUCUCGGGCGAUCAGUGGCGAACGGGUGAGUAACACGUGAGUAACCUGCCCCAGACUCUGGAAUAACCCCGGGAAACCGGAGCUAAUACCGGAUACGAGACGGAGUCGCAUGGCUACUGUCUGGCAAGGUUUUCGGUCUGGGAUGGACUCGCGGCCUAUCAGCUAGUUGGUGAGGUAACGGCUCACCAAGGCGACGACGGGUAGCCGGCCUGGGAGGGCGACCGGCCACACUGGGACUGAGACACGGCCCAGACUCCUACGGGAGGCAGCAGUGGGAAAUAUUGCACAAUGGGCGAAAGCCUGAUGCAGCGACGCCGCGUGAGGGAUGACGGCCUUCGGGUUGUAAACCUCUUUCAGCAGGGAAGAAGCGAAAGUGACGGUACCUGCAGAAAAAGCACCGGCUAACUACGUGCCAGCAGCCGCCGUAACAC
rnacentral:rRNA from 1 species